AGUUUCGAAAAAAAAAUCCAAAUUCACCCCUCAUGCAAAGUAAGUUACAACCAUAGUUAACCUCAUUUGGGUUUCUGAGGUUUACCCGGAUAGGAAACGGAUAGUAUCCCAAUUCUUCUAUCCUCUCUGUCUUUCAGUUUCUCUUCCCUCUUCUUCCUCGUACGUAACUUUGCAGAGAUUCAGAGACGGAUGAGAUACGAAUUCAUUAAAUCCAGACGGUAUAGGUGGUGAUGACAAUGAUUUGGUUAAUGUAAUUUUGUGAUCUGGUGGGAGAAUGAGACCAAUCAGGCGAUGAACCCAGUAAAUGGAGAUUGUGUCAUCCGCAAAGGAACUGGCCCAGAUUCUGGUGGUCAUGUAGAAAUGUGAAAAGGUACACCUAAAACGGCAAAGAAAAAGGCUGGUGUUGAGAAAGCCAUAAAAGGAACUUCAACUGGGAGAAAUCGAUCACAAAAGGUUGGGGGAUCCCCAACACAUUUGCCAAUCAACACUGCGAGUAAGUUCAUUCGAUGUAUAUUACCGUGUAACCCAUUUAAGAUUUAGGUUGCAACACACAGGAAUUUAUCAGCUCAUGUACCGACCAAUUUAUCUGACACGGCCAUUAACACAUGAAGCUUAUGUACCAACCAAUUUGGGACCUGACGGAGAGUUCAUCGGGAAACAUAGACAUACCCAAUAUGGGAGACACCAUCUUAGACGGUGGAAUUAUUACUAGCCAUCCAUACAUUGAAUUUCAUUGACGAUUGCUCAAUUCAUUUUGGUAUAUUCUUAACAUAUGACUUCCUGUGUGUAGUAUGAAUCCAAAUUUACACCGGUUUGUUUUUUGAGCUACUGGACGCACUUCUGCUGUACACAGAAGUGUCGACUUUUAGGAAUGCCUGGUUUUUUUGGAAUAUCUGGCUGCUGAUUAAUGUAAGAAGCUCAAUUUUUUGUAUCUACCUAGAUGUGAGCUUAACUGAUGUCGGUCGUAUAUAUACUAACGUCUACAGAAAGAUCAAAUAGGGAUUAGCAUACUUGUGUAGGUCGCUAGUCGGCAUUAAGAGUUAUGAAUGUAUAAAUGCAAACAGUUUAUCGAUUAUGUUUAAGGAUGUUUUUCAGAUGUUUAAGCGUGCAUGUUCACAGAUAUUUAAAUAUGUGAAGCAUCAUACAACUAAUUGUUGAGGUUUUCCUUAACUUGUACAAGAAUCUAAAGAUAAUUUUCAGCUGGUUUCGAUUUCA